GACGAACGCUGGCGGCGUGCCUAAUACAUGCAAGUAGAACGCACAGUUUAUACCGUAGCUUGCUACACCAUAGACUGUGAGUUGCGAACGGGUGAGUAACGCGUAGGUAACCUGCCUGGUAGCGGGGGAUAACUAUUGGAAACGAUAGCUAAUACCGCAUAAUAUUAAUUAUUGCAUGAUAAUUAAUUGAAAGGUGCAAUUGCACCACUACCAGAUGGACCUUCGUUGUAUUAGCUAGUAGGUGAGGUAACGGCUCACCUAGGCGACGAUACAUAGCCGACAUGAGAGGGUGAUCGGCCACACUGGGACUGAGACACGGCCCAGACUCCUACGGGAGGCAGCAGUAGGGAAUCUUCGGCAAGGGACGAUAGUCUGACCGAGCAACGCCGCGGGAGUGAAGAAGGUUUUCGGAUCGUAAAGCUCUGUUGUAAGAGAAGAACGGGUGUGAGAGUGGAAAGUUCACACUGUGACGGUAUCUUACCAGAAAGGGACGGCUAACUACGUG
rnacentral:rRNA from 1 species